UCUCCGUUGGUGAACCAGCGGAGGGAUCAUUACCGAGUUUACAACUCCCAAACCCCAUGUGAACCUUACCACACGUUGCUGCGGCGGGAUGCCCCGGGCACGGGCCGCAAGGCCUCAGCACCGGAGACAGGCGCCUGCCGGAUGCCCAAACCAAACUCUUGUUUUUGUAGAAUCUUCUGAGUGGCAUUUUAGGCAAAAAAUGAAUCAAAACUUUCAACAACGGAUCUCUUGGUUCUG
rnacentral:misc_RNA from 1 species